GCAUUUCGGAUAACUUGCACGAAUGAAAGCAUAGAAAUAAAUGAAGUUUCUUAUCCGAACGACUUAAUAGGAGACAUUUAGUUUUCUGGUAGUUAAAACCCGAAUAUUCGUCAAAGUUUUUAGUCUUGUUCAGUUUGUUCUUCUUAUAAAAUAUACAUAAUUUAUGUGUAAAGGAGUAAGCAACAUGAUGAGGUUCGAACCAAGCUAGAGCAUUAAGAAUCUUAUUUCCUAUAAAAACCAUUUUUUCGAUAUCUAACUAUCCGACUAUUGUUGCACUACGUAUUCUUCAAAAUCUCUCCUCUUAUUAUAGAAUUCAGGAUAAUAACAACAAUCUACAUAAUGUGCAUUACAGAUAUGGAUUCUGUACAGUGCGCGAACAAUUUUUUAAGAAUUAAAUCGUUUAUAUCAAGAAAGAUUACUUCCGUCGGAUAUUGACAUGAUUUAAUCGAAAUUUUAUUAAUGAGAGAAACAAGGAAAGUGUCUUUUAUUCGUUAAUUCUUGACCUGGAGUUGCGAAAUGGAGGAACAGGUUGAAGUAGGAGAAUGGCCAGGAAGGCUAUUUUGGUUGAUUGUGUAAAUAAUUUGUUGGAUGAUGUUAUUAAUAGCGAAAAAAGAAG